UAGGGAAUAUUGGUCAAUGGAGGGAACUCUGAACCAGCCAUGCCGCGUGCAGGAAGAAGGCCUUCUGGGUUGUAAACUGCUUUUAUACAGGAAGAAGAGCUCACGUGUGGGUAGAUGACGGUACUGUAUGAAUAAGCACCGGCUAACUCCGUGCCAGCAGCCGCGGUAAUACGGAGGGUGCAAGCGUUGUCCGGAUUUAUUGGGUUUAAAGGGUGCGUAGGCGGUCUAUUAAGUCAGAGGUGAAAGCCCACAGCUCAACUGUGGAACUGCCUUUGAUACUGGUUGACUUGAGUACACUAGAGGUAGGUGGAAUUUAUGAUGUAGCGGUGAAAUGCUUAGAUAUCAUAAAGAACUCCUAUAGCGAAGGCAGCUUACUGGAGUGUAACUGACGCUGAGGCAC
rnacentral:rRNA from 1 species